CCUUGAAGAUCGGAGUGCUUGCACUCUGUGAAACAAGAUACAGGCUAGCGGCGGACGGGUGAGUAACACGUGGGUAACCUGCCCAAGAGAUCGGGAUAACACCUGGAAACAGAUGCUAAUACCGGAUAACAACAGAUGAUGCCUAUCAACUGUUUAAAAGAUGGUUCUGCUAUCACUCUUGGAUGGGCCUGCGGUGCAUUAGCUAGUUGGUAGGGUAACGGCCUACCAAGGCGAUGAUGCAUAGCCGAGUUGAGAGACUGAUCGGCCACAUUGGGACUGAGACACGGCCCAAACUCCUACGGGAGGCAGCAGUAGGGAAUCUUCCACAAUGGACGCAAGUCUGAUGGAGCAACGCCGCGUGAGUGAAGAAGGGUUUCGGCUCGUAAAGCUCUGUUGUUGGUGAAGAAGGACAGGGGUAGUAACUGACCUUUGUUUGACGGUAAUCAAUUAGAAAGUCACGGCUAACUACGCGCCAGCAGCCGCGGUAAUACGUAGGUGGCAAGCGUUGUCCGGAUUUAUUGGGCGUAAAGCGAGUGCAGGCGGCUCGAUAAGUCUGAUGUGAAAGCCUUCGGCUCAACCGGAGAAUUGCAUCAGAAACUGUCGAGCUUGAGUACAGAAGAGGAGAGUGGAACUCCAUGUGUAGCGGUGAAAUGCGUAGAUAUAUGGAAGAACACCGGUGGCGAANGCGGCUCUCUGGUCUGUUACUGAC
rnacentral:rRNA from 1 species